CCUACGGGAGGCAGCAGUGGGGGAUAUUGCACAAUGGGGGGAACCCUGAUGCAGCGACGCCGCGUGGGUGAAGGAGUGCUUCGGCAUGUAAAGCCCUAUCGGCAGGGAAGAAGCAAGACGGUACCUGACUAAGAAGCCCCGGCUAACUACGUGCCAGCAGCCGCGGUAAUACGUAGGGGGCGAGCGUUAUCCGGAUUCACUGGGUUUAAAGGGAGCGUUGACGGUCAAGCAAGCCAGUGGGGAAAGCUCGGGGCCCAACCCCGGGACUGCCCUUGGAACUGCAUGGCUGGAGUGCGGGAGGGGCAGGCGGAAUUCCUGGUGUAGCGGUGAAAUGCUUAGAUAUCAGGAAGAACACCGACGGCGAUGGCAGCCUGCUGGACCGCGACUGACGUUGAGGCUCGAAAGCGUGGGGAGCGAACAGGAUUAGAUACCCGAGUAGUC
rnacentral:rRNA from 1 species